rnacentral:lncRNA from 1 species
GGAGGAAACAACGUCUUUCUCACUGUUUUACAACUCAACUGUCAACUCAACUUUUGCACGAAAAUCUGGAAGCACAACUGUCCAGGCAGAUUGUUCUUCUGGGUAUGAGCCCUGGGUGGUUGGAGUGGCUGCAGGGAUACCCAGCAUUCUGGCCUUGGCCCUUGCAGUCAUCUUGACUGUGGUCUGUGUCCUCCAGUGGAAGAACUACAUCUGGAAUCAGGUGAAUACCUCCCACCUCCGGGGUGCCUUGAUUUUUCUGUAGUUGUUGUUGGUUAACAUUGUGUUUGGUUUUUUUCUGGAAGUAAAUGUAAAAGGGAGGGG